CCUACGGGAGGCAGCAGUAAGGAAUAUUGGUCAAUGGAGGCAACUCUGAACCAGCCAUGCCGCGUGCAGGAAGACUGCCCUAUGGGUUGUAAACUGCUUUUAUCCGGGAAUAAACCUACUUACGUGUAAGUAGCUGAAUGUACCGGAAGAAUAAGGAUCGGCUAACUCCGUGCCAGCAGCCGCGGUAAUACGGAGGAUCCAAGCGUUAUCCGGAUUUAUUGGGUUUAAAGGGUGCGUAGGCGGCCUGUUAAGUCAGGGGUGAAAGACGGUAGCUCAACUAUCGCAGUGCCCUUGAUACUGAUGGGCUUGAAUGGACUAGAGGUAGGCGGAAUGAGACAAGUAGCGGUGAAAUGCAUAGAUAUGUCUCAGAACACCGAUUGCGAAGGCAGCUUACUAUGGUCUUAUUGACGCUGAGGCACGAAAGCGUGGGGAUCAAACAGGAUUAGAUACCCUGGUAGUCCACGCCCUAAACGAUGAACACUCGCUGUUGCGAUACACAGUCAGCGGCUAAGCGAAAGCGUUAAGUGUUCCACCUGGGGAGUACGCCCGCAAGGGUGAACUCAAGGAAUUGACGGCGNGAGACGAGCGAGGACGACGACGAGGGAGGAGG
rnacentral:rRNA from 1 species